GUUCGGACUGUGGUCUGCAACUCGACCACACGAAGCUGGAAUCGCUAGUAAUCGCGAAUCAGCAUGUCGCGGUGAAUACGUUCCCGGGUCUUGUACACACCGCCCGUCACACCAUGGGAGUCAGCAACGCCCGAAGUCAGUGACCUAACCGAGAGGAAGGAGCUGCCGAAGGCGGGGCAGGUAACUGGGGUGAAGUCGUAACAAGGUAGC
rnacentral:rRNA from 1 species